ensembl:lncRNA
UAAAAGUGAAGCCUUCCUAUCAGUCCUGUAAAGACUGCAUGCGUCUGCCACAAGGACGGCGCUGCGACCGUCCAGCAGGAGGCCGAUCCCACCGCCUUAACCCCUCCCGCCACUGCACUGUCCCCUCCAUAUGCAUAGAUCCGCCCGGGACAAAUUUUGCUUCCACCUCUCUUCUGCAGUCUCUGCCAACCCCUUCGGUAGUCCCAUCUAACCUGGUCCAGCCCUGUGCUCAUCUGUACCGCUGUGCCACCUGCACCCCGAGCGUCGCAUCUGUCCCUCCUCUAACCAACCAACAGAAACUGGUCUCACCCAUGAACUGUGAGGAGACGCCCACUGACCGGAGCUCAGUGGAGGCGGAGGACAUGGAUGAACCGCAGGGGGGCGAUGUGGGAGAGCAGGUAUUAAGGGAGAGCGCUGAGGCUGAACCUGGUGGUUUAGUUGAGCUCCCUCAGGAGGCUCUGGCUCUACAAAUGCCAGGACUGGGGAUAGAGUUUGGUCUGGAACUGAUGCGACAAAGGGCUGAGCAGCUCGAGAAGAUGCCAAGUCUGGCCAUGGAAGGCCAGCUCCCAGUCGGGCCUCUGCCUUAAUAUAACGGCUGGAGCAUAGAUAAGAUAGAGGAAGUGGCCUACCACUGCCUCAAUCUCUAUGAUGGCUGUGAGAUAUUAGAUAACCACUGCUGGUGGAAGCUCUGCGCUGACCUCUGCUGUAAUGUCUUGGCCUCCUGGCUCAGUUUUAACUAGCUGCAGCAGCUCUCUGAGUGUCCCGUCAUCGACUGAAGGGAUUAAGAUCCACAGGAGGCUGCUUGUUUUCGCCAUGUGCUAAAGGCCUCGAUGCUUCUGUCCAUGUCGGGAUGGAAAACUUUCUCAUGUCCUUCAUCUGUCCCUCAGAUGUAAUUGAGGGCUCUUUGAACCUGCCCCCACCACCACACAUGCAGGAUCGUCACCACAUCCCAGUGGAGAUGAGCAUUAUGCUGCCAUUUGACCUCCAACAGACAGGUUUGGCAAGACAGCGGUGGCUUGUAAGAUCUAGUUGUUGUCCCUUUCUGAUAUCUGACAGUGCUAUAGUCGGCACAUUAAUGUUGAUGAAAAGAAAAAUACCUGAAGUUCCAUGCUUCUGUCAGUGUACUGUAUGUUUUCAAUCCAACUCAUCAACAGUAUUCCAGAAGGAGCUCAGUAAAUAUUUACUGUUUGAUCGCAUCCACUCUCUCCUCACGUUGCCCCUGAUAUCUGAAUUCUCACGUAACUUCACCUCCCUGCUGCAGCUGCUUUUGCAUCACCAGAGGGCAUUUCACGUGAAAGCAUAGGAAUUUUUUUUAAAAAAGGACAUGACCACAUGCAAGCCUUUUUAUGCCUCUUUGUAAAGCAUCGUACCUCGGACCACAAGCAUCUAGGACUGUUUUGGUCAAAGACUGUUUUGUUCUCUCUGCUCAGUGGCUGGUUCACCCUGACCUCCUCCAAUAAAAGUUAAUGUAAUCAUGUACUUAAAGUGCUCAGUUUAGCCCACGCAUGACUCUGCAGUAUUACAAGACAUAUCCUCAACAUGUUUAGACAGAAAAAUAAUCAAGUUGUCUUUCAUUUUUACUUUGUAAGAUUCAGAUUUGUUAGUGAUUGCACUGUAUCAAUGACAGGUGCAAUCCUUCAUCUUAUUCGUCUUCAGCCUGAAAGAAUGACAGAUUGGAAGAAACAAGACUCAGACAUUAACUCUGGUCAGAUAACCUCUGACGUAACCAAAGCCAUAUCAUGCUUUUCAAACCCAGAGGCUCCUGUGAUAAGCAUGGCUCACGUUUAAUUUUUCGGUCAUUUACUGAAAACCUUAAACUACCUUCCCCCUCGACCUACAGAUAUUUGCACACUGUUCAUAUAUAUUUUAAGCACAUGAGCACAACUCUAGUAUCCGUCACACAGUGCACAGACAUAUUUCAGAUCUAUAGCUAUAGUACAUUAAUCUGAAUUCAUUUGAGCACAAUAAACCAGAAAUAGAGACCUCCAAAAUAACUUUUAAUAAUAUCUACUAUAUUGCUUGCAGUGGAGUCCAUCCCUGUGUACAGUGUAGAUUAUUUGAUUUAAUAAUCAUCAGACAGUUAAGAGUCAACAGUUUUAUUGAUAAUUUACUGUUUUCGUGAUGUAAAAUAAAGCUUCCUUCGCUGAUGUAUGAAAAUUAGAAAAUAUUCUUAACUUACAUUACUAGCACACACAGGUUUCCACAUCUGUACCCCUACAAUCAGUCUACAAAUGUUCAUUUCAUUUUGUACAUGUUCAUAUAGCCUGCUGCAUAUUUUUUUAACAGUUUAGUGAAAAUUGUGCCACCAAUCCAAAGUUGCUGUGCCACUCGGUGUUACAGUUUGGUUUUUUUUUCUGUUUGGCUGAUGAUGAUGUGUUCCUAUUGUUUUUGGCACGCUGGGUGUGCUGGAAUGGUACAGAACGAGGCCUGUUGGUGUGCAGGAAAAGCACAUGCAAGUUGAUUUACUGUGUUUGAAGAUCUUCAGUGCUUCAGGAGAAAUGAAAACUGUGCAAAGAAUGAAUGCAAAUUAUUUAAUUAUCUUUAACUAAGGGGUUUUUUGUGUUGUUUUUAUUUUUUGUAGAUUUAGCUCUUUAAUUAGAUCAGUAGAAACUUAGACAUCAAUGCAUCCUCUGUUCCUUCUCGUACCUUAACUGAAUUUGAGGGAGCUGCAGGUUUGCUCCACUGAUUAGAUUUAAAUAUUUUAGUUUCUCCUUUAACUUGUUCUUUCCUUCUCGUGGCCAUAUGACCAUUACGUAACGCAAGGCACAAAGAAAGCUGUUGACAGCUGCUGAAAUCACACACUAUUGAAAUAAACCAUUUUAAACAGAAAAUUUUUGAAAAUAAGGAAAGUUACCAAGUAGCUUUAGGCUUGCUGAAGGCUCUGAAAGAAAGAUUCAAAAACUAAUUUGGUGUUCUGAGCAAAAUUAUAUGCAUUCUUGCCAAAAGUUAGAUGAAAAGAUUGAUACCACUCCUAUGUAAGCAUGAAGCUAGCCGUCAGCCAGUUAGCUUAGCAUAAAGACUAGAAGGCAGCUAGCACUUCUUGUUUGCAGCGUUCAUGCUAAGCUAAGCUAACCUGCUACUGGCUGUAGUUUCGCGUUUACUGACAGAAAUCUUGUAAGCUAACUAUAAGCAACAAAGCAAGUAAGCAAACUCCAAAAAAUUUCAAACUAUUCUAUUAAAAUAUUAAUAAUAUGAUUCUAGUUUACUACGGACGUUCUCAGUAUGCUAACGCUCUUGACAGGUGGCUAAAUCCUUGCGCCCCUUGACCACAGUACGAUGUUUGGUUGUUUGCUUCGUGUUUUGAACUUGUUUUUGUAUUUAAGUGCCUUAACCUCGGCCUUAGCUCUGUCAUGAAGCAUCACAGGCUUUGCAAAGUUUCUGGGAGUGUGUUGAUGGUCCGGCUUUUUGUACAUUAUUUACCCUCACUCCCAAUAAUAACCAUGUAUAAGUCAGCAUAUUAUAUUAUGUAUGCAAACACACAUAAACUCAUCCGCAGCAGCCUCCUCUCCCUCAAUACACACACUUUGAUGGACUUCCAUUUAUUAAUAGCCUAUAAUGAUAUCGUAUUUGUUUGAUAUUGUUGAGACUCGUGGUACAUUGUUUUGGUUCAAUAGCUGGCUGAAGAACCUUAAUUGCUGGAAUGAGAACUAUCAUUUACAUGAAAAUAUCACAUAGAAUGGAUUUAAGUCUUUGAAAUUUACCAGUCUGUACAUAUUUUUUGUCUACAAUUUGCUAUUUGAGUCCAUUAGGUUGCAGACGUGGUCAGUAUUAAGAAAAGUACUGAUGAUAAUGCUACUGUGUAUUGAAAAAUACUCAUCAUUGUACCACAGCAAAAAAAAAAAAAAAAAAAAAAAAAGAUCAUCUCUACUUUAGGCAAACGUUUUCAGGUUCUGUUUAAAAUGGCUUAAUUUUUUAUUGCAUUAGUCGCAGGCAGCAGACAUCAACAUGACAAUCCUACUGAAGAGCCACAGGACAUUAAGUCUUUGUGUCAUUUCUGAAGGGGGUCCGGGUAUUUAUUGAGUGUAUUUAUCGAGCACAAGUCUGCCCCAAAGCAUGUGAGCUUGAGAUGAGUGAAAAAUGUAGAAAAUGUAAAACCUCCCUGGAAGUAAAGAUUCGUUACAUUGGUUUUUUGUUAACUUUUGUGUACUGUACUGUACAUUGCCAAUGUUCAUGUGUAUGCACUUUUUUCUUUUCUUUUGUCAUCUUUUUUUUUUUUUUUUUUUUUUUUUUUACAUUUUGUUCAAAUUGUGUCCAGUCUAGUGUUUAUCAUGGAAAUAAACGAUUUUCUCUGCAUAAUCUGAUUACUCAUUUAAGUUGAUUUUUGGAGGCAUUUAAUGUAAAUAGCUCAGUGUAUUUACAGAUUGUGAGCAAGAAAAAUGUAUUUAAAUGUAAAACAUUUAUAGGAGCACAUAUUUAAUGACAACUGUAUGAAUGUAAAUUAAAAUUAAAAUGUUGCUUAAAUGCAGUUUUUAGCCAGUGCUAUCACUCCUGCAUAUAAUAAUAAGGGGUCCAUGAUGAUAUAGGUACAACGUAUUGUCCCAAAAAGGCUUUUCACUUUCCCCUUCAGUGAAAAUCAAGUUUUUUUUAACCUAACGUCCAUAUGGUGCUUUGUAUACACUCAUCGGCCACUUUAUUAGGUACACCUGUUGCUUGUUAACACAAAUAGCUAAUCAGCCAGUCAAGUGAUGUUGGUUACUAUCAAGAAAACUAUGAAAACUGUCUAGAUAUCAGCUCUUAAAUUAAACUCUUAUGAGCUAUUAUUGUUGUUCUCAUUAUAUUUGUCCAAACAAAUAUACCUUUACUUGUACCAGGC